rnacentral:rRNA from 1 species
GACGAACGCUGGCGGCGCGCUUAACACAUGCAAGUCGAGCGAGAACCAGGGCUUCGGCCCUGGGGAAAGCGGCGAACGGGUGAGUAACACGUGAGUAACCUGUCCUCGGCACCGGGAUAGCCCGGGGAAACCCGGAUUAAUACCGGAUGGCCUUUCGAGUCUUCGGGCUCGUCAGAAAAGUUAGCUUCGGCCUCCGGCCGAGGAGGGACUCGCGGCGGAUUAGCUUGUUGGUGAGGUAACGGCUCACCAAGGCGACGANCCGUAGCUGGUCUGAGAGGACGAUCAGCCACACUGGGGACUGAGACACGGCCCAGACUCCUACGGGAGGCAGCAGUGGGGAAUCUUGCGCAAUGGGCGAAAGCCUGACGCAGCGACGCCGCGUGCGGGAAGAAGGCCUCGGUUGUAACGUA